rnacentral:rRNA from 1 species
GACGAACGCUGGCGGCGUGCUUAACACAUGCAAGUCGAGCGGCAAGGCCCUUUCGGGGGUACACGAGCGGCGAACGGGUGAGUAACACGUGGGUGACCUGCCCUCAGCUCUGGGAUAAGCCUGGGAAACCGGGUCUAAUACUGGAUAUGACUCCAUGACGCAUGUUGUGGGGUGGAAAGCCUUGUGCGGCUGAGGAUGGGCCCGCGGCCUAUCAGCUUGUUGGUGGGGUGAUGGCCUACCAAGGCGACGACGGGUAGCCGGCCUGAGAGGGCGACCGGCCACACUGGGACUGAGACACGGCCCAGACUCCUACGGGAGGGCAGCAGUGGGGAAUCUUGCGCAAUGGGCGAAAGCCUGACGCAGCGACGCCGCGUGAGGGAUGACGGCCU